rnacentral:ncRNA from 1 species
UGUCAGAGGAGCGAUAGCGAUGAGUAGCUCCGGACGGGUGCGCAAACACCGAUGCCGGAGGGAAAGGCGACUGUUGCCGAAUCGGAAGAGAAUUUGCGUUCUUUUCCGGUGGGUCCGUGUGAGAAGAUCUGCGGAACUGUCACAUAUUUGUGGAGUGCUGUCAU